UUGACGUUGGAUUACCAGUGAGCGGCGGACGGGUGAGUAACACGUGGGCAACCUGCCCUGAAGCGGGGGAUAACAUCUGGAAACAGGUGCUAAUACCGCAUAACAACGAAAACCACAUGGUUUUCGUUUCAAAGAUGGUUUCGGCUAUCACUUCAGGAUGGGCCCGCGGUGCAUUAGCUAGUUGGUAAGGUAGCGGCUUACCAAGGCAAUGAUGCAUAGCCGAGUUGAGAGACUGAUCGGCCACAAUGGAACUGAGACACGGUCCAUACUCCUACGGGAGGCAGCAGUAGGGGAUCUUCCACAAUGGGCGCAAGCCUGAUGGAGCAACACCGCGUGAGUGAAGAAGGGUUUCGGCUCGUAAAGCUCUGUUGUUGGAGAAGAACGUGCGUGAGAGUAACUGUUCACGCAGUGACGGUAUCCAACCAGAAAGUCACGGCUAACUACGUGCCAGCAGCCGCGGUAAUACGUAGGUGGCAAGCGUUAUCCGGAUUUAUUGGGCGUAAAGCGAGCGCAGGCGGUUGCUUAGGUCUGAUGUGAAAGCCUUCGGCUUAACCGAAGAAGGGCAUCGGAAACCGGGCGACUUGAGUGCAAAAGAGGACAGUGGAACUCCAUGUGUAGCGGUGGAAUGCGUAGAUAUAUGGAAGAACACCAGUGGCGAAGGCGGCUGUCUGGUCUGCAACUGACGCUGAGGCUCGAAAGCAUGGGUAGCGAACAGGAUUAGAUACCCUGGUAGUCCAUGCCGUAAACGAUGAGUGCUAGGUGUUGGAGGGUUUCCGCCCUUCAGUGCCGGAGCUAACGCAUUAAGCACUCCGCCUGGGGAGUACGACCGCAAGGUUGAAACUCAAAGG
rnacentral:rRNA from 1 species